rnacentral:rRNA from 1 species
CAGCAGCCGCGGUAAUACGUAGGGUGCAAGCGUUAAUCGGAAUUACUGGGCGUAAAGCGUGCGCAGGCGGUUAUAUAAGACAGAUGUGAAAUCCCCGGGCUCAACCUGGGAACUGCAUUUGUGACUGUAUAGCUAGAGUACGGCAGAGGGGGAUGGAAUUCCGCGUGUAGCAGUGAAAUGCGUAGAUAUGCGGAGGAACACCGAUGGCGAAGGCAAUCCCCUGGGCCUGUACUGACGCUCAUGCACGAAAGCGUGGGAAGCAAACAGGAUUAGAUACCCCUGUAGUCCCUGUCUCUUAUAC